CAGCACCUCAAGUGGUCAGGAUGAUUAUUGGGCCUAAAGCAUCCGUAGCCGGCGCUGUAAGUUUUCGGUUAAAUCUGUACGCUCAACGUACAGGCUGCCGGGAAUACUGCAGCGCUAGGGAGUGGGAGAGGUAGACGGUACUCGGUAGGAAGGGGUAAAAUCCUUUGAUCUAUUGAUGACCACCUGUGGCGAAGGCGGUCUACCAGAACACGUCCGACGGUGAGGGAUGAAAGCUGGGGAAGCAAACCGGAUUAGAUACCCGCGUAGUCC
rnacentral:rRNA from 1 species